UACGUAGGGGGCUAGCGUUGUCCGGAAUCAUUGGGCGUAAAGCGCGUGUAGGCGGUCCGGUAAGUCCGCUGUGAAAGUCGGGGGCUCAACCCUCGAAUGCCGGUGGAUACUGUCGGGCUAGAGUGCGGAAGAGGCGAGUGGAAUUCCUGGUGUAGCGGUGAAAUGCGCAGAUAUCAGGAGGAACACCAAUGGCGAAGGCAGGUCUCUGGGCUGACACUGACGCUCAUGCACGAAAGCGUGGGGAGCAAACAGG
rnacentral:rRNA from 1 species